rnacentral:tRNA from 1 species
ACAAAUGUAGCUCAGUGGUAGAGCAUUUGCCUCCCAUACAUAAAGCUGUGGGUUCAAUCCCCAGUAUAGGCC